rnacentral:lncRNA from 1 species
UUACUCCUGUGUUGAAGAUCAUUUCUUCCCCCAAUUGAGUUUGAGUGCGUAUUUCCUUAGUGAAAUCACCUUUCCCUGUUCGGUUUAGGUACUUCAACUUUGUUCUGGCCCACCUGUCUCCCCUGUAGAUGUAUUUUUCUCCCCAACUGAGUCUUUCCAUUGAUUUAUUUCCAUGGAAUCCCUUGAGUCCCACAGCAGUUUUAGGUUGUAGCCUCG